rnacentral:snoRNA from 1 species
UGGAAGUGAUGAAGUAGAGAUAAUCGGAUGUCUCUUUGAAUGGAGUGUGUGUGAUAAAUAGAAUUUAAACAUAUGCGGGGUGGGGGUGGGGAGCGUGUGCGUGUGCGCAUGUAUAGAAAAGACUUUAAAUGGGGGCACUGAUAAUGCAGUGCUGAUUCCGGAGUGCAUCUGAGGCAUGUUGUUAAGUUCUGGGGUGCCACUUUACAACAUUGCCGAUGAUUAAAGCCCAAAACAAGCCCACCAAGACAAGCCCAGGCAUCCUACAUCUCUAACAGGUUCAUUAAUGAAAGUGAUCCUGUGAUCUGAUCCGA